GAAAAUGCACAAAGACUCAGACCCCUGAGGA
rnacentral:piRNA from 1 species